GAGACCAUACCCCCUUCACAGUUGGUGUCAACAGUGGGAUUCUCUAGCGUGACCCUGACUCACUGAAACAUGAUUUGAGAAGAAGAAUGAGAGGGCUGAGGCUGAAGAACCUUUGACUCCUGAAUGACUACCUGGUCACCUAUGGUAUGGAACUACAGGUUUUAUCUACUACAAAGGAUAUCACUUGGGAAGGAAUUUCUUGAAACUGCUCCCAAGAGAGCCAUUGGACCAUGUGGUAAACAACUCCUAGCUGAUGGAUUAUUGGGAAUAUUAACACCAUCCAGAAUGCUAUGGGGAGAAGACACAACUGGAAGCUCCAUGUGGACAAACCUCCUGGACUCUGCCCCACAUAUCUCUUCCCUUGGCUGAUUUGAAUUUGUAUCCUUUCACUGUGAUAAACCACAACCAGAUUAUUACAGCUGUCAGCAAGUUCUUCUAUUGAAUUGUUGAAACUGAGGGUGGUCUUGGGAACCCCUGAACUCUACUGUUGGUGUCAGGAGUGAGGGAAGUCUUGUGGACUAGACUCCCUGACCUCACAGUUAGAAGCUGACAGCUGACACGCCCUUCCCUCGUGCAUUUUAUCCUGGGACAAAAUGAGAAGACAUCCUUCAGUGCCCAUCUUGGAUGGCAUAACUUCAAAACCAAGGGAGAUGGAGGAGUUUUAGAGGAGUAGAAGGCUGCAAGCAAGAACUGAUGCAUUACAUCUCCAGCCACCUCACUCUAAGAUUGUCCUGUAGCUAAGACUGUUGAAUGAGACUGUUGUUCUUCAGUUUGUAGCCACAAAGCACAGGGGCAUCUCCCCAAGAAUCCACUGCAGGGAGGAUGAACAGCCCUUACCUGGAUUUUCGCUUUAUCUAAAAAUAUAUUUGUAGAAGAAGGAGCUUUCCAGUUUCCAAAUACAAAGGGCAAUCUCCUCCUCUGUGUGUGCACGUGCAAACAAACACACUUCUACAAGAAUGUACAACCAUUUUGGAGAAGAGUUGGAGUUAUCCAAAGAAAGCUGAAGAUUUUCCUAACUUAUAAUUUUAAACAUUGGCACAUGCCCUCAAGUAACAGUUGCAUACCUAAGGAGACAUGUUUCAGAACCAAUUUGCUGUGAUGUAGAGAAUGUUCUGGAUUGGCGAUCAGAAGGUACGGGCUCUACAUAGGGCUUGGAGCUUUCCAGCUUUGCAACUUUGAGUGAGAACCUGCUCUAGGCUUCGGUUUCCCCAUCAUGGCUUCUGUGAUUCCAGGAUCAAGAGUUGGCCAUUUAGAGGUACCAAGAACAGUCUCCAUCUCAAUCUUCUUUGCCACGUCAUGCAUGCCCUUGAAGCAUUAGAAUUCCUUAAAGCUUCAUGGGAGAAUGCCAUGGGAUGAUGAAGACAGAGAUUGGAGUCAUGCAUCUGCAAGCCAAGAAAUGUACAAGAUUGCUGGCAAACCACCAGAAGCUAGGAGCAGACAAGGAAGGAUCCUCCCCUAAAGGUUUCAGAGGGAGCCAGGCCUUGCUGACAUCUUGAUUUCAGACUUCUAUCCUCCAGAAUGAAUAAUAUCUACUAUUAAAGAUGCGGAAUCUCAAGAUCCAUCCAUGAGCUACUGAAUCUUCAGUUUAAUAAGGUUCCAGGUGAUUCCUAAACACCUUAAAGUUUGAGAUGUCCUUCUCCAGAUCAAUGGAUCUCAUCCCCAUUCGAAUCACCUGGAGAACUAGAAUCACCUGGAUGGUUUUAAAACAGUUCUGAUGCCUGGUCUCCACCAUGGGCCAACUGAAUCAGAAAUCAGCUUGGCCACCCACUAGUCUGAGGAAGGAAUUCUCCUUAGAAUUUGUUUAAGAAACUUAAAAAGGUUGGAGUAUAUAUGCAAUAAGGAAAUGAAAAGGAUUGAAUGACACUUAAAAA